GGCUUAGCUCUCAGAGCCAAAAUACAAGCCAAACCACUGGAGCCAGGGGAACACACAAAACAAAGACAGCAUCAUGAAAGUUCACUCAGGCAAGUCUAAAUCCCGUAAAGUGAAGUGGGACAAAGAAUGCGUAGCAGUUCCAGGGGCUCUGCAGAUUUGCUUCCAGCACACGAUGUGGCCUUCAGGGGAACCCCAUGCACACCAUUGGAGGGCAUCCACCAGAUAAGGACGCAACCAAGAUGGAACAAGGAGGACACAUUCCAAGAGGUGCUCCAAUCCUCAUAGGUCGAGGGUGGGGGGGAGGGGAGAAAAGAGCACAGGGAGUGGAGAGACCCUGAAGGAAAAAUUUAAAAUAGAAAGGCAGGACAGAAAGGAAAGUGAAGAGUGCAUUGUAAAAGGCCAGGAGUAGAUGAUAAAAGUGAUGGAAGAGCAAACAGAUAUUGAAGCCCUUAAUCACGCUCCAGGCAGAACACAUGAGUGCUUGCCUCUCCCCCUCUCGCAGCUGAUACAGAAUUGCUUUCUGUGCCCUCCGAAAACUCCUCCCACACAUUCCUUGCAACUUCC